rnacentral:lncRNA from 1 species
GUAACAUUUUUCAGCCAUAAGGGUCAGCUGAGGAAUCUCAAAAUCUAUCGUUAUUAAGGAAGCUGUCAUCCACGGCCAGGCGCAUGCACAAGCACCCAGGCGGCUACGGCGCCCUCUCGGCAGGGCACACUCUGCUCUUCCCGUUGGACAGAGGAGCAAAAGGGGCUCAAGGGGUCAGAAACUGCCUCACAGCUACUAACGCAGAAGGAGCUGCAUCCACUGAACUCACAGUAACAGCAACUAUCCGCUGGCAGCACUGACUCAGAAGCAGGAACUAAGCCAAGCACUGGGCAGGCAUCAGCACACACUGUCCCCUCCACAGCCCACAGCUCCCGUGUGGCUGUCACGCCGACCGUACAGACCCGGCCCUGAGUCUCGGGGGGCUGGAGACACCGGCCCAAGGCCUCGCGGCUCUGUUGGCACAACAGUGGACGCUGAAACUCGUCCUCAGGACCACUGGCUCUGUUCCACGCCCAGAUCGAG